AAUGGGGUGCCUGAUUAAAGGAUUAUCUUGAUAGGGUAAAAAAAGUAGUUAAAUUACCUCCAUUG
rnacentral:tRNA from 1 species